rnacentral:rRNA from 1 species
AGAGUUUGAUCCUGGCUCAGAAUGAACGCUAGCGGCGUGCUUAACACAUGCAAGUCGUGCGCGAAAGUGACUUCGGUCACUGGAGAGCGGCGAACGGGUGAGUAACACGUGGAUAACCUGCCUGGAAGUGGGGGAUAACCUGGGGAAACUUGGGCUAAUACCGCAUAUGUUCGUGAAGUCUCGGCUUUGCGAACAAAGAUGGCCUCUGCUUGAAUGCCAUCGCUACCAGAGGGGCCCGCGCCUGAUUAGCUAGUUGGUAGGGUAAUGGCCUACCAAGGCUCCGAUCAGUAGCCGGCCUGAGAGGGUGAUCGGCCACACUGGAACUGAGACACGGUCCAGACUCCUACGGGAGGCAGCAGUGGGGAAUAUUGGACAAUGGGCGAAAGCCUGAUCCAGCAACGCCGCGUGGAGGAUGAAGGUCUUCGGAUUGUAAACUCCUGUCAGAUGGGAAGAACGACUGUCGGCAAAUAGUCGAUAGUCUUGACUGUACCAUCGGAGGAAGCCCCGGCUAACUCUGUGCCAGCAGCCGCGGUAAUACAGAGGGGGCAAGCGUUAUUCGGAAUUAUUGGGCGUAAAGGGCGCGUAGGUGGCCUGGUAAGUCAACGGUGAAAUCCCUCGGCUCAACCGAGGAACUGCCUUUGAUACUGCUAGGCUUGAGGCCGGGAGAGGGUAGCGGAAUUCCCAGUGUAGCGGUGAAAUGCGUAGAUAUUGGGAGGAACACCGGUGGCGAAGGCGGCUACCUGGACCGGUUCUGACACUGAGGCGCGAAAGCGUGGGGAUCAAACAGGAUUAGAUACCCUGGUAGUCC